ACUGCCGCAUCUUUUUUCUUCAAUAGAUUUUGCUCCAACAACUUUAAAAAAAAAAACUCUUUGAUUAUCACCAAUUCAACAUGAGAGCUAAGUGGAAGAAGAAGCGUAUGAGGAGGUUGAAGAGAAAGCGCCGAAAGAUGAGACAGAGAUCCAAGUAGAAUGUAUUUCGCAGUUCGUAAUGGUUUAAUCUAUGUUUUUUUGGGGCUAUAUUUAGGCUUAAUGCUGUUUAAGUUUUAAGUUUAAAUUUCAGUAACAUUGAAUAGAGGUUUUGACCUAAAUGGCAUCGAAUUCAGAUUCUGAUAUCCGUUUAUUAUAUUAUAGUUUUAUGUUUUU